AUGGUUCAGACUGCUCACAAGAGAAAAUUACCUAUGGUUGUGCUGAAGCUUGAUUUCCGGAAAGCCUUUGACACGGUUAGCUGGCAAUGCCUCUUCACCAUCAUGGAAGCUAGAGGUUUUCCUCGGUGCUGGAUUCGUUUGGUCUCCUCUCUCCUAUCAAUUGCCAGCUCCAGGGUUUUUAUUAAUGGGCAGCUUGGGGAGUCCUUCAGUGCAAAGAAAGGUUUAAGGCAGGGCGAUUCCACGUCACCUUACUUGUUCAUCCUGGUUGCAGACGUGCUGCAAAGGCUUUGA
rnacentral:rRNA from 1 species